rnacentral:rRNA from 1 species
UGGGGAAUAUUGGACAAUGGGCGAAAGCCUGAUCCAGCCAUGCCGCGUGUGUGAAGAAGGUCUUCGGAUUGUAAAGCACUUUAAGUUGGGAGGAAGGGCAUUAACCUAAUACGUUAGUGUUUUGACGUUACCGACAGAAUAAGCACCGGCUAACUCUGUGCCAGCAGCCGCGGUAAUACAGAGGGUGCAAGCGUUAAUCGGAAUUACUGGGCGUAAAGUGCGCGUAGGGGGUUUGUUAAGUUGGAUGUGAAAUCCCCGGGCUCAACCUGGGAACUGCAUUCAAAACUGACUGACUAGAGUAUGGUAGAGGGUGGUGGAAUUUCCUGUGUAGCGGUGAAAUGCGUAGAUAUAGGAAGGAACACCAGUGGCGAAGGCGACCACCUGGACUAAUACUGACACUGAGGUGCGAAAGCGUGGGGAGCAAACA